GAUGAACGCUGGCGGCGUGCCUAAUACAUGCAAGUCGAGCGAACGGACGAGAAGCUUGCUUCUCUGAUGUUAGCGGCGGACGGGUGAGUAACACGUGGAUAACCUACCUAUAAGACUGGGAUAACUUCGGGAAACCGGAGCUAAUACCGGAUGAUAUUUUGAACCGCAUGGUUCAAAAGUGAAAGACGGUCUUGCUGUCACUUAUAGAUGGAUCCGCGCUGCAUUAGCUAGUUGGUAAGGUAACGGCUUACCAAGGCAACGAUGCAUAGCUGACCUGAGAGGGUGAUCGGCCACACUGGAACUGAGACACGGUCCAGACUCCUACGGGAGGCAGCAGUAGGGAAUCUUCCGCAAUGGGCGAAAGCCUGACGGAGCAACGCCGCGUGAGUGAUGAAGGUCUUCGGAUCGUAAAACUCUGUUAUUAGGGAAGAACAUAUGUGUAAGUAACUGUGCACAUCUUGACGGUACCUAAUCAGAAAGCCACGGCUAACUACGUG
rnacentral:rRNA from 1 species